GAUGAAGAACGUAGCGAAAUGCUAUAAGUAAUGUGAAUUGCAGAAUUCAGUGAAUCAUCGAAUCUUUGAACGCACAUUGCGCCCCCUGGUAUUCCGGGGGGCAUGCCUGUCCGAGCGUCAUUACAACCCUCAAGCUCAGCUUGGUGUUGGGCCCCGCCGCCCCGGCGGGCCCUAAAGUCAGUGGCGGUGCCGUCCGGCUCCGAGCGUAGUAAUUCUUCUCGCUCUGGAGGUCCGGUCGUGUGCUCGCCAGCAACCCCCAAUUUUUUUCAGGUUGACCUCGGAUCAGGUAGGGAUACCCGCUGAACUUAAGCAUAUCAAUAAGCGGAGGA
rnacentral:misc_RNA from 1 species